rnacentral:rRNA from 1 species
UACGAAGGGGGCUAGCGUUGUUCGGAUUUACUGGGCGUAAAGCGCACGUAGGCGGAUUGGUCAGUUAGGGGUGAAAUCCCGGAGCUCAACUCCGGAACUGCCUUUGAUACUGGCCGUCUAGAGAUCGGAAGAGGUGAGUGGAAUUCCCAGUGUAGAGGUGAAAUUCGUAGAUAUUCGGAAGAACACCAGUGGCGAAGGCGACUCACUGGCCCGUUACUGACGCUGAGGCGCGAAAGCGUGGGGAGCAAACAGG